AGAGUUUGAUCCUGGCUCAGAUUGAACGCUGGCGGCAUGCUUUACACAUGCAAGUCGAACGGCAGCACGGGGGCAACCCUGGUGGCGAGUGGCGAACGGGUGAGUAAUGCAUCGGAACGUAUCCUUGAGUGGGGGAUAACGUAGGGAAACUUACGCUAAUACCGCAUACGACCGAGAGGUGAAAGCGGGGGACCGAAAGGCCUCGCGCAGCAGGAUGAGCCGAUGUCCGAUUAGCUGGUUGGUGGGGUAACGGCCCACCAAGGCGACGAUCGGUAGCUGGUCUGAGAGGAUGAUCAGCCACACUGGGACUGAGACACGGCCCAGACUCCUACGGGAGGCGAC
rnacentral:rRNA from 1 species